rfam:Picea glauca, whole genome shotgun sequence.
GGAUCCGUGUCACAAUGGUAGCGCAUCUGACUCCAUAUCAGAAGGUUGCGUGUUCGAUUCACGUUGGGUUCA